rnacentral:rRNA from 1 species
AACGAACGCUGGCGGCAUGCCUAACACAUGCAAGUCGAACGAUUGCCUUCGGGUGAUAGUGGCGCACGGGUGCGUAACGCGUGGGAAUCUGCCCUUAGGUUCGGAAUAACAGCUGGAAACGGCUGCUAAUACCGGAUGAUAUCGCGAGAUCAAAGAUUUAUCGCCUGAGGAUGAGCCCGCGUUGGAUUAGGUAGUUGGUGGGGUAAAGGCCUACCAAGCCGACGAUCCAUAGCUGGUCCGAGAGGAUGAUCAGCCACACUGGGACUGAGACACGGCCCAGACUCCUACGGGAGGCAGCAGUGGGGAAUAUUGGACAAUGGGCGCAAGCCUGAUCCAGCAAUGCCGCGUGAGUGAUGAAGGCCCUAGGGUUGUAAAGCUCUUUUACCCGGGAAGAUAAUGACUGUACCGGGAGAAUAAGCCCCGGCUAACUCCGUG